GGGGAUAUAGCUCAGUUGGGAGAGCGCGUCGUUCGCAACGACGAGGUCGGGGGUUCGAGUCCCCCUAUCUCCACCA
rnacentral:tRNA from 1 species